rnacentral:ncRNA from 2 species
AUAAACGAGGGAAUUGAGUGUCUCCCCUAGCCAAUCGCUUAAACCGCUUAUCAAAGCUGAUGACUUCUGCGCAAUA